GAUGAACGCUGGCGGCGUGCCUAAUACAUGCAAGUCGAGCGAACAGACGAGGAGCUUGCUUCUCUGACGUUAGCGGCGGACGGGUGAGUAACACGUGGAUAACCUACCUAUAAGACUGGGAUAACUUCGGGAAACCGGAGCUAAUACCGGAUAAUAUAUUGAACCGCAUGGUUCAAUAGUGAAAGACGGUUUUGCUGUCACUUAUAGCUGGAUCCGCGCCGCAUUAGCUAGUUGGUAAGGUAACGGCUUACCAAGGCAACGAUGCGUAGCCGACCUGAGAGGGUGAUCGGCCACACUGGAACUGAGACACGGUCCAGACUCCUACGGGAGGCAGCAGUAGGGAAUCUUCCGCAAUGGGCGAAAGCCUGACGGAGCAACGCCGCGUGAGUGAUGAAGGUCUUCGGAUCGUAAAACUCUGUUAUUAGGGAAGAACAAAUGUGUAAGUAACUAUGCACGUCUUGACGGUACCUAAUCAGAAAGCCACGGCUAACUACGUG
rnacentral:rRNA from 1 species